GCGGGAACAUGUUUCAGAUGGGACUCCAGGCCCUGGAGCCCAUCCUGACCCUCUGGCUUGGAAUUUCUGACUCUCCUCUCCGCCUUGACUCAGAAUAGGAAACCGUAUCCUGACCGCGCGCUGCUUUUUAUAGAAUCAAACUUUCUUGCCAACUUCCUCCAGAGAUCGCCCCUCAUCGGCUCUGAACAAUGCGCCAAUCACCCGCUGGAAGAGAGGGGAGCGCUGACCCGGGUGCCCCCAACGCAGCCCAGGCCCAGAGCCCAAGGCAGACAGCUGGCACGGCGUCUGGCCCGGGUACCCGGCCUGGUGUCCCAGGCAAAAAGAGAGUGCCAAGGAGAAGGCAUGACAUGUCUGACUCCGUUAUUCAUAUACACCAAGUCAGCACUUCAACUCAAGAGACAUGACACAGAAACACACUGUUGGAAGGAAUUUCCCUUCCUUCUGUGGACAUACUGGAAUAGGAUGCCAUCAUGUGACUCCCUCUCGGGGUGACUAUGGCCAGGCCAGGCCAUUAACACCCAUCCAGUCACCUGACAUUGCACGCUGUCACCGUGACAUCAUACUACUGAACCAACACAUCCUCCUUCCUUGGAAUAAAAAGACAUUUUCAUAAGACUUAUUAUGUCUGGAUAGGAAUCAUAUUCAUCAUUAGUCAGUUGGCUUGCUGUCCACAGUAUUUAAGUGAAGAGAAACAAACCAGAAGAAGAAGAAGAAGAAGAAGAAGAAGAAGAAGAAGAAGAAGAAGAAGAAGAAGAAGAAGAAAGAGAAAAAGACCAGUUUAAGAUCUUCAAGACACUGAUGAGUAAGUAAUGAUGGGGGGAAAGCAACAGUGACCUUAAGAAAAAAGAAACAACUCAAAGUGUAAAAAAAUCCACAAAGAUACUCUUAACAUUCAAUAUUCGUCUUUACUUCAAAAAAUAAGGAGAGGGAUGGUUAAAGAGAUGAAUUCACAUUUGAACAGAGUCCAAAUGACCUAAGAUUAUUUGUAUUCUAAUUUUUCAGAUGGACAAGGAGGGAUACCACAGUUAUGUGAUACAUUAGGGGUCGAAAUGAAAUGGGAAUACUUCUUUCAUUUAAAAGCAGUGUUCUUGCCUUUGCGGUCCCUGAGAGUUUCUUAGCUGGUGAGCGACAACCAGCCCCUUCCUCCUUGGGCUCCUAUUUCAGAUCCAACCUGGUUAGGGGAGGGGAGAGAACGGAGUUAUGGUUGUGAGAGCUCCCUUUUAAGAAUCAUGUGGCUGCAAGCGAGGGCUUUCCAGUAGGCUUGAGAGGUCAGUCGUUUUGAAUCUGAAUUGGAAAGCUUGGGUAAUAGCAGAAUGGCAGAACCACACCUGAGCUGGAUGCUGGUUUUGGAAACAACCCCCUCCCCGCCCCCCCCCCUCCCAGGGAAGAUACCACCAUGAGACCCAUCACUGCUGAGUGGGGCAAAACAGGAAGUGCCAGCUUGGAAAGACAGGAAGCAGGUGGCUGAGUUCUCCUCCACCGCAUCUCAAAAAUAGAGCACAUGAGGUGGCCUCAUCAAGCAAAAUUUAACUUGAGGCCCAGCAACCAUUUAGUGAGUACCUACUAUGUGCCAGGUGCUAUGCUAAGAGCUCUCACGUAGGGCAUCUCAUUAAACCCCAGUGAUCAGCAGGAACAUCCUAGCAGAUUCUGCCUCUUUUCCCUUCCGAAGAGUGGAUGUGAUAGUUACUAGCACAGGGUUUCUCAGCUUCAGCACUAUAGGAUGUUUAAGCAGCAUCCCUGGCCUCCACCCACUGGAUGUCAAUAGCAUACCCUGCCCUAGUUAAGACAACCAAAAUAUGUCUCUAGACAUCGCCAACUGUCCCCUAGAAGGGCAAACUUACCCCCAGUUGAGACCCUCUUCCUUCGAACCCGGGACCCUUGAGUUUUCAGGAAUGGAUCGGAUGCCCAGGCAGCCACAGGUACACAUGCCCCUUGUUCCCUCCUAGGGUCUGACUCAGUGGUGCUCAGACCUGUGUGUUCCAUGCAUAAUACUGUAUAUACUCUACUCGACAGGCAGGGAUUUUCAAGGGAAAGCUGAUUCCAUCUAUGUUUGCCUUAGAACCAGCUGGCAUAGAACCAGCCCUUCUCUGAAGUGUAACUGCCUGGGCAGCCUUGCGGGGUCACAAGGCCUUCCCAGCACAGAGUCUGUGUCGCCUGGACUUAUUUUGUGAAGCUGAUGACGCUGACGGCCAGGUCUGAACACAGGGCCUGGCGUCGGGGCCCCCCUCACUGCAUCCUCAGGCCGUCACGAGGAGGCGGGCACUCUGACUGCCCUGUUUUGCGAGGAGACGCUGAGGAUCACCCAGGUUAAAAAACUUGCAGCCAAUCACACAGCCAGUCAAUGGAAGAGACUGAAGCUGAAGAAGAUAAAGCGAAUGGCCCAAGGUCACCCCUUGGUAAACUUUGGGCCCAGGCUGCCCACUCAGGUCUCAUUCUUUGAGCCCCAAAUCUCAUGCUUUUCACCUAAAGGGCUUCCAAGGUAAAGGUGGACUUGGAGUAGAGAUCCUCAUCCUUCCAUCUCCCCAGCCCUGACCCUGUCCUGUUACCAUUGGGAAGUCAACAAAGACUUGUUUGAUGUGACUCAACCUCUUAGACUGUUGACAGUCCUUGACAAUUUUUUGACAAGGGAGAAAGGAACAGUUCAACAUUUCGAGGCAACCUGUGGUUCGGUCAACACACCAAAAGGAGUGGGAACAGGGUGAGAACGUGAAACAGAUAUGGCUUCACCGUUAUCUGCAGAGGGGCGUUAAGAAUGCCUAAUGGUGACAGGUCACUCUCCAUGGAAAAACACAACCUCUGUGCAAUGUUUUGUUUGUGUUAUUGUUUGUUCUUGCGAAAAGAUGACAAACGGAAAGUUAAACAUUAUAGUGAGAACUCUGUUAAUUGAGCUGGGCAGGCGUUGAAUGCAGGCCUGUAUUUGUCCGACUCUGAAAAAAAUGCUUUGUGAAGCCCAGUUCUUUCAGGCAAGUCAGCAGGGGAAGGGCUUAGCCUGCUCAAGACCAUUGUUUUCAAGCAAGCUGACAACCGCUCUGCACUCUGCCAGGGUUCCUUUAAUGAGCUCAUUACAAAGGGCUCCGAGGUGUCCUCCGCAGCCAGGCCUGGAGGAGCUCUGCUUAGGCAACACGGAAGGAGUCCUUAGCACCUGAAAUACCCGGACACUGUAAACGCUUAAAACGCAUAACGCGAUAAUGUAUCUGCCAACCUCAGACUGAUCUUCCGUAACCGGCAGGUCUUUUUCGGUGGCAAGCAACAGAAAAACGACUCCGAUUCGCUGAAACAGAAAGGAGUACUUGCUAGUGUUCGGCAUGGCUGAAUCCCUAUGCUUAAAGGACAUCAGCGGGAUUCUGACUUUGCCCAUUUCCUGUUUUUUUCUUCCUUGGUGUUCGCUCCCUUCUCAAGCAGCUUUCCCGAAAUGGUGUUAAAACGGUUCCUGGCACUUUCAGCCUCACAGUCUACCAGCUCAGCAUCCCAGUCUACUGAGGGGACCUAUUUCUGAGUAGUUCCAGCGGGGGGAAAAAAAAAAAAAAUCCCAGGGCUGUCUCUGAUUGGCCCAGCUCAGGUCACAUGCUCAUCCUUGAGCCAAUCCCAGUGGCCAGAGCAAUGCAGCACUCUCAUUAGUCAGGUCUGAGUCACGCCUAUCUUUAAAGCUCAGAUGUGAGCAGGCCCAGUUGAACCACAAGGAUCAAGCGGGAGGAGCAUUUCCCCAGAGAGCUAUCCAGAUUCUGAUGCCAGACCAUGGGGGCAGGGAGGAAGGGGUGGUGGAUGCUGAACAGGCAAAGCCAAUGGAAGUCCUUGGAACCUUCUCUCUGAAUUAUCUCCAACAAGUAAAGUGUUACUAAGCAGAGGAACCUCAUGUGGUUUACAAGCAUAAUUUAGAAAUUUGCUUAGAUAUCUGAGGUUUAAAACAUGGCCUGUUUUGGCUACAACAUUUUGGAAAUAUUUUCUGCAAAUUGCACUCACUCACAUGGCUUGAAGCUUUGGAAUUUUUCUUUCUUUCUUUCUUUCUUUCUAACUUUCUUUUCUCUCUUUAUUUUUUUUAUUAUUAUUUUUUUUAUUCUUGGAACAAGUCCUUAAGAAAAAGAGGAACAGAAAUGCCACAAAAUGAUUUGAAACAGACGACUCUGAGAGCAGCGGAGAUGGCAAAUUAGCACAGUUGAGAUUCCUUCUGUCCUGAUGACAUUUCUUAGGCCUCUCCUUUUUCUAUGAUAAGGACAGUGUUCCUAAUUACAAAAGCAAUACCUGCCCAGUUCAGAAAGAACUGAAUGCAUACGAAAGUACUACACACACACUCACACACGCACACACAUGCACAUGCACGCGCACACGUGUACACACACACACACACACACACACACACACUAUGGCCCACCAUUUUAGUUAGAAGAAUCUAUUCAAGGAGUACCAUGCCCUAGGUCUUGUCCAGGCACUACCCUAGCCCCAUUUCACAGAUGAGGAAGCUGAGGUUUACAGCAUCCAAGUUGAUGAGUGGAAGACUUAGGAAUUCAACUCGUGUCUUUCUGCCCUCAAAGCCCUUGUCCUUAUCCAUUCUGUUAUUACUCCAAAAUUAAGAGUUCCAAAUUAACCUUACAAAAAUGGCAGAUUGACCGUAAUGCUUUAUCACCUGCUUUUUUAAAUAUACUAUGUUUUCCCAUGCCAUUCUGUAUAUUUCUAUGUAACUUUCUUGGAUUGUAUUAAACCAUCAUUGACUCAACGAGCUGGACAUUGAGGUUACUGCUAACAUUUCGGUAUUAUAUUAAUGCUCCAGUGAGCCACUUUGGGGGGACAUUUUAACAUACAUCUCUGAUUAUAUCCUUGGUAAAAUUUCUAGAAUUGCUGGAUCAAAAGGACUAGAUACUUUUAGUGUUGACUAUGGAUUACAAAAUUGUUCUUCAGAAAAGCAUGCCCAAUGCACAAUCCCACAGCCACGUCUGAAUUUCUGUUUCCCCGCUCUGUCCCAUUCUGCCUCUUCCUCCGAGAUUGCUAGUCAUUAGCCAGUUGUGCCGCUCACUACCUGCAAUGGGGAAUGGGAGCCUUUUUAAAGUACAUCACUCGACAGCAUUCUAAUGGU